rnacentral:rRNA from 1 species
CCAGCACUGAACCUCGUGUCUCCGGAUACCGAGGAAUGUAGUGUUCAGGAGAGAGGURGUUUGCCUGUCCGGUGAUUGUCCAAGUCCCCAUGAUCGGGGCUAGAGUCCGCAGAGGGUGUCAGGCCCGUAGUGACGCACCGCGACCGUGAACGCUUGAUCUCCUAAGAGUCGGGUUGCUUGAGAGUGCAGCCCUAAGCGGGAGGUAAACUCCUUCUAAGGCUAAAUACCGCCACGAGACCGAUAGCAAACAAGUACCGCGAGGGAAAGUUGAAAAGAACUUUGAAGAGAGAGUUCAAGAGUGCGUGAAACCGUUCAGGGGGUUAAACGGGUGGGCCCUCGAAGGUCGAACGGCAUCUACUCCCGUUACCUGCAUACGAGCCUGCGCUGGGACGAGUCGCAUUCUGCGGCCGCCGAGUGUGGUACGCUUGGGGCGUGCAGGGACCGCUAGUUGGAUGCCUAGUAGGACUCCGCAACCGGCUGGGGUGAUACGGUCGUCAGACGGGUCUUGAGAAGCGGCCUCCUUGUGGGGCUGUCUUUUUGAGAUUCCCGGCGACCACUCGGCCGUUGAGUGCUGCCUCGCUGUUCCUCAUGGAUGGACGAGCGUUUUGACCUUUGCGGGGAGAAGCGUUGUCGGUUCGUUCGAGGCUCCGGUGAGAAGCGCGGAGAGUAGGUCGGGUCCCACCCGACCCGUCUUGAAACACGGACCAAGGAGUCUAACAUGUGCGCGAGUCGUCGAGUUGUACCAAACUCGAAGGCGCAAUGAAAGUAAAGGCUAGGCUUGCCCUAGCUGAGGGGAGAUCCCGUUUCUGCUUCGGUAGCGCGGGCGCAUCCCCGGGGCGUCUAGACUGCGUUGCCAGUCGGACGCACCUAGAGCGUACACGUUGGGACCCGAAAGAUGGUGACCUAUGCCUGGCCAGGACGA